UGCUAGGGGCUUUUUCGUGUUCGCUGCGGUAGCCUAUUACGUGUUGCAGCGUACAUGUAUUUGUUCGGUGCAACAGGUCUGGAUAAUUUUUUUGUUUGCUUAUAAUUCAUUAACACCAAGCCAGUCGCGUUUCACUUUGAAAAAAUUUAGCAAGCUUUCACCUUCUUCCUCCCUUCUUCGAUCUUUAAUGGGAUGCCAAAGAAAAAUUUCGAUCUUCGAUCUUCUUCGAUGGACUACCAGUAAUCUUGUCCCGCUCCUCAGCUCUCUUCUUUAUUCACCUUCCCCCUUCUUCUUCCCCUCUGCGUUUUGGAACCUGGUCCGACUACCAGCCUGCCGUAAUUUUUGCAGACCUAGCUUGCCGGGAUUUUACAAGCAGACCUAGCACGACGGCGCCGUUCCCUUCUCUUGUCGAGAUUUUUAGAAUUAAGUUUAGGAAAUUAGGGUUUGUGAAUUUGAAUUUGGGGAUUUUGGAGUUAGGGCUUUUCGUAUUGGCGGCAGAGCACCACUCGGAACCACUCCACAACAGCGGCAUGAGUGACUGACGACAGCCCGCAGUGGUGGUCGACGGAGCAAGCUAGGUCUAUUACAGGUUGCAUUGCACGUUGAGUACCACCACAAUAUGUUGACAUCACACCAGAAAGGGAACCCAAAGGAAGUAAUUGUUGGAUGGUAUUCAACCGGAUUUGGUGUUACGAGAGGUUCUGCUUUGAUCCAUGAAUUCUACUUUAGAGAGGUUGCAAAUCUUUUCCAUGUACCAGUGGACACUACAUUCAGAAAUGGAGAGGCAACCAUAAAAGCCUUUGUCUCUGUUAAUUUAUCUCUUGGAGACCAGUCACUUGCUGCUCAAUUUCAGAAAAUUCCUGCAGAACUUCCAAUGUCAGAAGUAGAGAGGGUUGAAUGUAGGCACUUAACCCUAGUUCUCUUGAUUAAUUAACCCUGCUAAAUUUGAAAAAUACUCCAGUAGUCUUGUGGGUCCUAUAUUUUAAGCUCUUAAUUGCUUCUUGCCGGUUAGAUUGUUGCAUCUACAUGGGUCUUAUCAACUUGAUCAACUCAUCAUGUGUGAGGUCUAUACUCUGAGGAAUGCGCCUUAUGCUAGUGAGGAAAUUGAUGUGGUUCGUGAGCAAUGGGCUAGUUUUUUACCAGCAAAUAUUUAUUAUUGGCCUGAGCGCGCUUGAUCGAGUUGGUUUAGAUGUUAUAGAACAAUGUUUUAUAUUAAAAUGUAUGCGUACGUUGAAAUUGGAGCAUAUAUUUAAAUGUACGUGCACUUUGGUUUCAUGUAUACAAAACAACAAUUAUUGUUUUUAUAUUUGUUAUACAGGUUGCGAUAUUCUAUUA